AGCCAGCAGCGCCCGGUCGGCCGCUGGCCGCAGGAGAAAGUAAACAACACCCCAAGUGUCCGGGAACAAAGGCAAGUUGUCUUUCUACGGUGCCGCAGCCGUGUGCCUCUUCUGAAGAAUAAGAGCUAUUAUUAUUCUUUAUGUCUUAUCCUUUUUUUUUUUUAAAAAAAAAACCAAGUUUCCUUCUAAGGGAAAUAAACACCAAAGGUAGGAUUCCAAGGAAAUGACUCACAGCGGCUGGCAGGGCUCUGGCGGGGCUGGCCCGGGCCCCCGCGCUCCAGCCCGCAGCAGAUGUCGGCCCGGCCUUCCCUCCCUCCCUUGCCGGCCAAACCCGCUGGAAGCCCGCGGUUGCGGGAGCGCCCUGCGCCCGUGGGACCUGGCGGCGAGGACGCCUAUUCCCUGCUUCUGCGACCACAGCUGGGCACUCGGAAAGUUGCUAGGGCCGAAGAGGCGGGAGGGGAGGAAGGGAAGCGAGAGGCGGAGGCGUGGACCAGGCGGGCAGCAGCCUCAGCCCGCCGAGGAGCGCCGCGGCAUCCGGACCUGGGGGCACCCCUCCUACUUAACCCCUUCCCCUACGAUGAGGGACUAAGCGGCCACGGAGGACCAUGAGGUCUCACCAGAGCUUCUGACCCCACCCGCCCCUGGAGUUGUCUCGGUGCGCGCGGGUGGCAGCCCGAGCAGCCCUAGAGGAGGCGGCGGUUCCCGCCCUGGUGAAGGCGCCGCGGCGCACGCUAGCCCAGGGAAAAGCCCGCGCCGCCUCCGCGCCCAGCUGUGCCUUGGCCCCCACGCCGCCCCGACUCCGCUCCGGCCGCUGCGAGUCCACUCGGUGACCUCGGCACAGCCCUGGUGCCAAGAGGGCGCGCGGGAGGCCGCGUGGGUGCCCGUCUGCGAGGGCAGGAGCCCCGGGGGGCCCUCGCCCUCCACCCUGCCCGGCCCUCCCGCCCCCGCGGCCCGCGCCCAGCCCGGCUCUUACCGCGGGGUCAGCGGGGAGGCGGCGGCCGCAGCGCUUGAGCUGCUGCUGGUCCGCUCUGGGCUCGGCGCCAGCCCGGCCGCCGGUGCACACUCGCGGGUCCCGGCCCGGCCGCCCGCUCGGCGGUGACUGCGGGUGCGCGGCGGGCAAGGGUCCCGGCAGGUCCCGCCGCCGCGACUGGGGCGCUGCGCCGCCGUCGCUGCAGACGGUUAUGGUAAUGAGCGGCUCUGUCUAGCGAGGAGCGUGUGAAACCCGUCAAUCCUGUUUGCCAUUUCCCCGUGGAUUUCCGAGGAGAGGUUCUGCAGGAUGCCCCCAGGUGAUCCUCCGACUGUGAAAAACCAGACCUCUGGCUGCCUGGCUCCCUAGGAAUCAAGAAGACGCACAGACUGAAAAUCAAGGGAGGAAGGAACAAGAUCAAGGAUGAGGAUUAGCAUCUGCAAAUUGAACUCUAUCUAAUUUGCAUGUUUAUUUCUUAGAAUUGUAAUUAAAUUUGUGUAAUAAAUGUUUUCCAUUUCAUUUGUACACUUAAAACUUGGGUGACUGACAUGCAGUUAAGUGAAUUUCCUUUUUUUAAAAGCAAAUGUAGAUUAUUCAAUAAAGCAGCAAACCAAUAUUAAACAUAAUUAGAACUAAU
rnacentral:lncRNA from 1 species